rnacentral:rRNA from 1 species
UACGUAGGGGGCAAGCGUUGUCCGGAUUUAUUGGGCGUAAAGAGCUCGUAGGUGGUUCGGUAAGUCGGAUGUGAAAUCUCCAGGCUCAACCUGGAGGGGUCAUUCGAUACUGCCGUGACUAGAGGUCGGUAGGGGAGUGUGGAAUUCCUGGUGGAGCGGUGAAAUGCGCAGAUAUCAGUAGGAACACCCGUAGCGAAGGCGGCACUCUGGGCCGAUACUGACACUGAGGAGCGAAAGCGUGGGGAGCGAACAGG